rnacentral:misc_RNA from 1 species
GUAGGUGAACCUGCGGAGGGAUCAAUGCAGUGCGGAUUGAAGGGGUGGGGGGUAUGCAUGUGUGUCAUGUGUGUCGAUACACACACUCGACAUGAGCAUGUUGCACCCUCACGAUACUACAACCAACCAACCUGUUGAACGGAGAGUGGGCGAUGCGAGUCGUCCAUCUGCUAGCUAAAACGAUGCAGUAUGAUACACGAAGUGUAUUAGAAAAGAAAAAUAGUAAAAACGAAAUGACAACUUUUAACAA